UUGUGGAUAACUAAGCUGAAUAAGUCCUCUCUCCAAUAAGAUUCAGAAGUGCAAUGGUUGCAAGCAGCAGCACCCUUGGUAGUAUGUGCAGUCUGAUGCCUAUAUGGGUUGCCCUAAGGGACCUUGGAGACAAUA
ensembl:snoRNA SNORA70 Small nucleolar RNA SNORA70